rnacentral:lncRNA from 1 species
CUCGAAUGAAUUUUCUGUACUGGAGAUUAAUCCAAAAGCUGUUCAUGUUCAGUCGAUUGGGUCUUCAGUACUGGAGAAUACAAAUGCUUUUCAUGUUGAGUCACAGGAUAAUAAUAAACAGAUUGGUGAUGUAGAUCACUGCUGUAAUGUGCCAAUGCAGUCAUUGAGCCCAGAUGUCCAAAAUGGUGAAAUAUUAUCAGAUCUUAAUGGUCUGAAUUGUGCCAAUGCAGUCAUUGAGAUGCAGGUUAAUGAAGGGAAGAAACCUGU